AAACCAACAGGGAUUGCCUCAGUAACGGCGAGUGAAGCGGCAACAGCUCAAAUUUGAAAUCUGGCCCCAGGCCCGAGUUGUAAUUUGCAGAGGAUGCUUUUGGCGAGGUGCCUUCCGAGUUCCCUGGAACGGGACGCCAUAGAGGGUGAGAGCCCCGUACGGUUGGACACCGAGCCUUUGUAAAGCUCCUUCGACGAGUCGAGUAGUUUGGGAAUGCUGCUCAAAAUGGGAGGUAUAUUUCUUCUAAAGCUAAAUAUUGGCCAGAGACCGAUAGCGCACAAGUAGAGUGAUCGAAAGAUGAAAAGCACUUUGAAAAGAGGGUUAAACAGCACGUGAAAUUGUUAAAAGGGAAGCGCUUAUGACCAGACUUGCGCCCGGUGAAUCACCCAGCUCUCGCGGCUGGGGCACUUUGCCGGCUCAGGCCAGCAUCAGCUCGCUGUCGGGGACAAAAGCUUCGGGAACGUAGCUCUCUUCGGGGAGUGUUAUAGCCCGUUGCAUAAUACCCUUCGGCGGGCUGAGGUACGCGCUCCGCAAGGAUGCUGGCGUAAUGGACAUCAGCGAC
rnacentral:rRNA from 1 species